GGCGGACGGGUGGAGUACGACGNGGGACGUGCCNCGUACAGGGGGAUAACACUUAGAAAUAGGUGCUAAUACCGCAUAAGCGCACAGUAUCGCAUGAUACAGUGUGAAAAACUCCGGUGGUACAGGAUGGACCCGCGUCUGAUUAGCUGGUUGGCGGGGUAACGGCCCACCAAGGCGACGAUCAGUAGCCGGCCUGAGAGGGUGAACGGCCACAUUGGGACUGAGACACGGCCCAAACUCCUACGGAAGGCAGCAG
rnacentral:rRNA from 1 species